rnacentral:lncRNA from 1 species
UGUUCCCAAAUUCCUCUCCAAAUAUUCUCUCUAUAGAAACUUGAAGAAGAAGAAGAAGAAGAAGGAUUCACCUAGGGUUUCAAGCUAAGGUUCCAAUUUCUCCAUUGAAGGCUAGCAUUUGGAGUUAAGGUAUGAUAGUUUUCAUCCAUGGAUUCCUUUCAUCCAUGGAGUUCCUAAAUCUCUCUAUUUCAAAAGGUAGAAUUCCCCAAUUGAGUUAGGGUUUUCAUCUAUUAUCAUGGGUUCUCUUUAUUAUUGACUUAAAUGAGUUAAUUAUCAUCUUCUAUGUAGGAAUUGAUGAAUUCCAAUGAUUUUAUGAUGAAUUCCCCUAUAAACCCAUGUGAUCCCUAUGUUUUCAAGUUAUGAACCGUAAGUUAAAGGAUUUUGAUUUUCAAGGAAGAGUUUUAUGAUAUUGAGCAUGUAUUACUUGUUUUACAUGAAUUUAUGAUGAAAUCCAUAUCUAACCCAUGUUUUCUAAGAGUUGAUUACUGAAAUUGGGUUUUGACCUCAAGGAGGUGAAUAAUGGACUUAUGCAUUGUUUAUGAAAUCUAUGCAAACGUAUUAAGGGUGUUUUGAGACUAAAGUACCAAUGAUAGUGAUGAUGUUGUGUUGUGAAAGGCUAUUCUCACUAAAACACAUAACUAGCAUGAUGCGAAAGGUUUUCUCACAUGGAAAGGAUUCUUAGGUUAAAAGGCUUUCUCACCUAAGUGAAUCAAAGACUAGGAGCUAUCUUAAUGAAACUAGCUUGAAUCAGUAGGCCAAGGGCACCCUUUCAUGCGUAAUUAAGUCUAGUAAGAAAUCACUAUUCCUUGGGAAUUUAUGUUUAGCACCGAGUGGAUAUUUAUAGUGAGAUGGAAGCUCUCCGGUAGUAGAGGUCGGGUUUCCAAAGUAAUCUCAUGAGAUAGAAGCUCCCCCGUAGUAGAGGCCAGGUUUCUAGUAGCAAUCUUCUUAUUCCAUAACUAUGUGCCCACAUAGGUUGAUUAGCUAGUGGAUCCACUUAAGCUAGAAGUUCAAGUUUCUACCUUAGGCAAGUAGAACAACCUCUUUUUGAUGUGGGGUAAAUAUCGGAUUCCAUGUUAUAGCUCACAUAGUCUCAUGUCGGUUAAGGCUAAUUCCCCACAAUAAAUAAUGAACUAAGGUAACUCAAGGAGUAUAAAGUAUGAGUUCAAAAGAUCUUAAAGAAGAAGUUAGUUUGCAUUGACUAUGAUUUUUGACUUAUGUUUUAUAACUCUUUCAUAUGAUAUUUAACUUCGUCAAUUGCAUGUCAUGAAAUGAAAUAUCCCUUUUUAGCAUGUUUUAAAUUUUUUAUGCAUGGUCAUCAUACGUGGUACUUUGUUUUGUACUAACACAUACUCUUGCCUACAUUUUCCCCAAAUGUAGGGUCCGACAGAUAGAUUUCUGAGUCUCUUGGCUAGUUGUUGAGUUAGUGAUUUUCCCGAGCUUUGGUGAAUCUGCAUGCUUCGAGGACGGAGUUAUUAUUUUAGUUUCUUUCUUGUACUUCUCUUUUGUACAUGUUGUAUGGUCUAGGCCCAAUUUCAUUCUAUUGUAUUAGACGGCUAUGUUGAGACAAGAGUUUAGACUUCUGCUUUUCGUUUUAUAAAAGAUUUUUGACUUGGAC